ensembl:lncRNA
ACUAAGUGGGUGAGUGAGUGAGUGAAGCAAGGAAGGAAGGAGCGUAUGAGUUGUCAAGAUGUCAUGCCAAGUAAUUUUAUGCAUCGCCAUUUCCUUGUGUUUUUGCAGAAAACAGUGUGAAUGUUACCCACAGGUCAUGGUGUCAGUGGACGGGCAGAAUGGAGUUUUGUACAGCUCCAACAAUACUGAUGUGAAUGAGAGGGGUGAUGAGCUAUGGAUGCCUCUUACAAAACUGACUCCAGUAUGAGUCAUCAGUGUUGAUCAAGAAAAUCCACAACUAAACCCAUGGGUGGGAAUUAUCUUGGAAGAAAGUUUGGCAAUGGAUGAACUGACCAAUCUCAGGCCUUCGAUGUCCAUUUCUUUUUUUUUCAGACUGAUUUAUGCUCUGCACCUGGACUACCGUAAGUGUGUGAAAAGCACUUUAUAUUUUAUUCAUUAGAUAAUGCUCAACCUCAGACAAGGGAAGCUGGCACCCAAAAUUCUGUACUGCCAGUAUUGUGAACUCAGAGUGGAAAAAAACAUAUUGAUGUAAUCUCUUGUGAUUCUGAGAUAGACUGUUCAUGUGCAAGUUAAUUUGUUAAUCUAGGUUGUUUUUUUUGUUUGUUUGUUUUUGUUUUUUCUGUGGAAAUGUUUUCAGGAUAUGAAAAUUUCAUGUUUUGUUUUGUUUUCAAAAUUAACAUUUGGAAUUUAAUUAAAAUAAAACAGAAAAUUGCAUGAAUGUUCUUUUAUUU